UAACACGUGGGAAUCUGCCCUUUGCUUCGGAAUAACAGUUUAGAAAUGACUGCUAAUACCGGAUGAUGUCGCAAGACCAAAGAUUUAUCGGCAAAGGAUGAGCCCGCGUAGGAUUAGGUAGUUGGUGGGGUAAAGGCCUACCGAGCCGACGAUCCUUAGCUGGUCUGAGAGGAUGAUCAGCCACACUGGGACUGAGACACGGCCCAGACUCCUACGGGAGGCAGCAGUGGGGAAUAUUGGACAAUGGGCGAAAGCCUGAUCCAGCAAUGCCGCGUGAGUGAUGA
rnacentral:rRNA from 1 species